CACGUAGGGCGCAAGCGUUGUCCGGAAUUAUUGGGCGUAAAGAGCUCGUAGGCGGCUUGUUGCGUCAGCUGUGAAAACCCGCAGCUCAACUGUGGGCUUGCAGCUGAUACGGGCAGGCUUGAGUUCGGUAGGGGAGACUGGAAUUCCUGGUGUAGCGGUGAAAUGCGCAGAUAUCAGGAGGAACACCGGUGGCGAAGGCGGCAUCCUGGACCGGCAUUGACGCUGAGGCGCGAAAGCCAGGGGAGCAAACGGG
rnacentral:rRNA from 1 species